rnacentral:rRNA from 1 species
UACGAAGGGGGCUAGCGUUGUUCGGAUUUACUGGGCGUAAAGCGCACGUAGGCGGCUCGAUCAGUCAGGGGUGAAAUCCCAGGGCUCAACCCUGGAACUGCCUUUGAUACUGUCGAUCUGGAGUGUGGAAGAGGUGAGUGGAAUUCCGAGUGUAGAGGUGAAAUUCGUAGAUAUUCGGAGGAACACCAGUGGCGAAGGCGGCUCACUGGUCCAUUACUGACGCUGAGGUGCGAAAGCGUGGGGAGCAAACAGG